AAUUAGAAGAGCGAUGCGAAGAGCUCGAAGAGGAGUUACGUAGAAAAAAUUUUAUUGUUGACAACCACAUAAGGCCGGUUGCUGCCAAUGUUGUU